UACAGAGGGUGCGAGCGUUAAUCGGAAUUACUGGGCGUAAAGCGUGCGUAGACGGUUAUUUAAGUCGGGUGUGAAAGCCCCGGGCUCAACCUGGGAAUUGCAUUUGAGACUGAAUAGCUAGGGUACGGUAGAGGGAAGCGGAAUUUCCGGUGUAGCGGUGAAAUGCGUAGAUAUCGGAAGGAACAUCAGUGGCGAAAGCGGCUUCCUGGACCAGUACCGACGUUCAGGCACGAAAGCGUGGGGAGCAAACAGG
rnacentral:rRNA from 1 species